AUUUGUUUAUUAAAUGUAUCCCGUGUGGGAAUUGAGUUUGGUUAGGAUGAUAAGUACUGGUUAAAUUUUUCGCAUUUUUAUGUCAUUGAAUGACACUAUUUACUUAAGUUGUUAUUGUUAACAUCUAUGAAGACAUUUUUUAAUUUA